rnacentral:rRNA from 1 species
UACGGAGGGGACUAGCGUUGUUCGGAAUUACUGGGCGUAAAGGGCUCGUAGGUGGCCAACUAAGUCGGACGUGAAAUCCCUCAGCUUAACUGGGGAACUGCGUCCGAUACUGGAUGGCUUGAGUUUGGGAGAGGGAUGCGGAAUUCCAGGUGUAGCGGUGAAAUGCGUAGAUAUCUGGAGGAACACCGGUGGCGAGGGCGGCAUCCUGGACCAACACUGACACUGAGGAGCGAAAGCCAGGGGAGCAAACGGG